rnacentral:rRNA from 1 species
UUAGUUUGCCAUCAUUCAGUUGGGCACUCUAGCGAGACUGCCGGUAAUAACCGGAGGAAGUGGGGAUGACGUCAAAUCAUCAUGCCCCUUAUGACCUGGGCUACACACGUGCUACAAUGGUUGGUACAACGAGUUGCGAGUCGGUGACGGCGAGCUAAUCUCUUAAAGCCAAUCUCAGUUCGGAUUGUAGGCUGCAACUCGCCUACAUGAAGUCGGAAUCGCUAGUAAUCGCGGAUCAGCACGCCGCGGUGAAUACGUUCCCGGGCCUU